AUUGACACACUUGUGUCUACCAUCAUACUGAAGUCAUGGCCAAGAGACCGCAAUGGAGGCUAUCUGGAGGAUGAAGAAGCUGUUCUUCAACAUCUACUGGGCUGGCCAGCAGCUAAGAAUAUCUUUCAGCUUAAUGGUUCUGAUGAAAAACUGAUCAGUCAGCUUUCUGAAAAAGCUAAAGAGAAAUUUACCAUGGCAAUAUCAUCAUUCACAAAAAUUUCAAAUCAACUUGUAUCAGGGAAAAUAAAAAUAAAGCUCCUCAAGCACAUCCUGCGAAACAAGCCUGCUUAUCUUGACCUGCUUCAUUUAGAUUGUUUUUGUGACAAUGAACAAUACAGGGACACCAAUGCCAUGAAGAGGCUUCUUGACUGUAGACAAGAGGAGGUGAAGGCGAUUUAUCAUGAGAAAUCACUGGUGGAUUCUCUCAUUACAAUAUGCCGCAAUCUACAGGAACAUC